GGAGGUUGGUGGUGGACGAUCCACUCGCCAACCGGGUCAGGUCCGGAAGGAAGCAGCCCUAACGAGCCACGGAACGGGUCAUUGUUCCAGCCUCCCGC
rnacentral:SRP_RNA from 1 species